GUUCGAAUGAUAAUAAUUUUUGUAUACCAUCGUAUAUAUUACAUAUAACAUAAUAUGGAGACAUUUCAUCAUGUCCACAACAAUAUCAAGGGUGUGAAGGGAUUCAGUCAAGGAGUUUUAAAUUAUUGAAGAGUGGUAAUUAUUUAGAAGUAGGGUUCGCGAAAAAAUUGAGCCCUACUUUUAUAUAAUCACCUGAAAAUUUUUCACUAGAGUAUAAAUAAUAAAAUAUGUGCUAAU